AUGGGGAAUGUGGCGAGUCGGAUGAGGAAAUGGCAUAAAGAGGUCACUGGAGAGCUGGAAUGUAGGCUUCAAAAGGCCCGUGCUGAUCUAGAAAGGUUCAAGAAGGAGUCGGUGUCCAAACAGAAGAUUAGGGAGGAAGCGAGGCUUAGAUGUGUGGUGGGUGAUUUGGAGGAUAAAAAGUAUACCAAGGCCAAACAGAGAACACAUACCUCAUGGCUGAAAUAUGGCAACAGGAACACGAGAUAUUUCAUGGCCUUCGCAUCGGCUCGGAAGAAGUUGAAUAGGGUGAAUAAAUUGAGAAGAGAGGAUGGGUCGGUGCUGGAGGAGGGGCCGGAGCUGUCUAACUAUAUUUGA
rnacentral:rRNA from 1 species